rnacentral:rRNA from 1 species
GCAUAUCAAUAAGCGGAGGAAAAGAAACCAACAGGGAUUGCCUCAGUAACGGCGAGUGAAGCGGCAACAGCUCAAAUUUGAAAUCUGGCCCUAGGCCCGAGUUGUAAUUUGCAGAGGAUGCUUCGGGCGCGGUGCCUUCCAAGUCCCCUGGAACGGGGCGCCGGAGAGGGUGAGAGCCCCGUACGGUUGGCGGCCAAGCCUGUGUGAAGCUCCUUCGACGAGUCGAGUAGUUUGGGAAUGCUGCUCUAAGCGGGAGGUAGACCCCUUCUAAAGCUAAAUAUAGGCCAGAGACCGAUAGCGCACAAGUAGAGUGAUCGAAAGAUGAAAAGCACUUUGAAAAGAGGGUUAAACAGCACGUGAAAUUGUUGAAAGGGAAGCGCUUGUGACCAGACGUGCGCCGGGGUGUUCAGCGGGCGUUCUCGCCCGUGCACUCGCCUCGGCGCAGGCCAGCGUCGGUUUGGAUGGGGGGAUAAAGGCGCCUGGAAUGUGGCUCCCUCGGGAGUGUUAUAGCCAGGCGUGCCAUGCUCCCGUCCGGACCGAGGUACGCGUUCUGCAAGGACGCUGGCGUAAUGGUCCCCAGCGACCCGUCUUGAAACACGGACCAAGGAGUCGAGGUUUUGCGCGAGUGUUUGGGUGUUAAACCCGCACGCGUAAUGAAAGUGAACGUAGGUGGGAGCUUCGGCGCACCACCGACCGAUCCUGAUGUUUUCGGAUGGAUUUGAGUAAGAGCGUAGGGCCUCGGACCCGAAAGAUGGUGAACUAUGCUUGGAUAGGGUGAAGCCAGAGGAAACUCUGGUGGAGGCUCGCAGCGGUUCUGACGUGCAAAUCGAUCGUCAAAUCUGAGCAUGGGGGCGAAAGACUAAUCGAACCAUCUAGUAGCUGGUUACCGCCGAA